rnacentral:rRNA from 1 species
AGAGUUUGAUUCUGGCUCAGAACGAACGCUGGCGGCGUGGAUAAGACACGCAAGUCGAACGCUGACAUUCAGGUAGCAAUAUUUGGAUGUCGGAGUGGCGCAAGGGUGCGUAACACGUGGGUAAUCUGCCGUGAAGUUGGGGAUAACUUGCUGAAAGGCGAGCUAAUACCGAAUGUGGAAAUUAGAAGGCAUCUUCUGAUUUUCAAAGUUGGGGACCGCAAGGCCUGACGCUUCACGAUGAGCCCGCGGCCUAUCAGCUAGUUGGUAAGGUAACGGCUUACCAAGGCUAAGACGGGUAGCUGGUCUGAGAGGACGACCAGUCACACUGGAACUGAGACACGGUCCAGACACCUACGGGUGGCAGCAGUCGAGAAUUUUUCUCAAUGGGCGAAAGCCUGAAGGAGCGACGCCGCGUGGGGGAUGAAGGGCUUCGGCUCGUAAACCCCUGUCAUUUGCGAACAAACCUCUUCACUUAACACGUGAAGAGCUGAUUGUAGCGAAAGAGGAAGGGACGGCUAACUCUGUGCCAGCAGCCGCGGUAAUACAGAGGUCCCAAGCGUUGUUCGGAUUCACUGGGCGUAAAGGGUGCGUAGGUGGCGGGGCAAGUCUGAUGUGAAAUCUCCGGGCUUAACCCGGAAAUGGCAUUGGAAACUGCCUUGCUAGAGGAUUGGAGGGGGGACUGGAAUACUUGGUGUAGCAGUGAAAUGCGUAGAUAUCUAGAGGAACGCCGAAGGUGAAGACAAGCGACUGGGCCAAUUCUGACGCUGAGGCACGAAAGCGUGGGGAGCAAACGGGAUUAGAUACCCCGGUAGUCCACGCCCUAAACUAUGUACACUAGAUCGCAGAGGCUCUGACGCCGUUGUGGUCGAAGAAAAAUUGUUAAGUGUACCGCCUGGGGAGUACGGUCGCAAGGCUAAAACUCAAAGAAAUUGACGGGGGCUCACACAAGCGGUGGAGCAUGUGGCUCAAUUCGAAUCAACGCGAAGAACCUUAUCCUAGGCUUGACAUGUAUGGAUUAGAUCCUGGAAACAGGGUUGAGGCCCUUUGGGUACAACAUACACAGGUGCUGCAUGGCUGUCGUCAGCUCGUGCUGUGAAGUGUCGGGUUAAGUCCCUUAACGAGCGAAACCCCUAUCGUUAGUUGCCAACAGGUUAUGCUGGGGACUCUAGCGAGACUGCCGGUGUCAAACCGGAGGAAGGUGGGGAUGACGUCAAGUCCUCAUGGCCCUUACGCCUAGGGCUGCACACGUGCUACAAUGGCGUAUACAAAGCGAAGCGAGACCGCAAGGUGGAGCGAAUCGCAAAAAAUACGCCUCAGUUCAGAUUGUGGUCUGCAACCCGACCACAUGAAGUUGGAAUCGCUAGUAAUCGGGGAUCAGCUACGCCCCGGUGAAUAUGUUCCUGAGCCUUGUACACACCGCCCGUCAAGUCAUGGGAGCCGGUAAUACCCAAAGUCGCCCUAAUUCAAGGGUGCCAACGGUAGGAUCGGUGACUGGGACUAAGUCGAAACAAGGUA